rnacentral:lncRNA from 1 species
GUUCACCUCGAUCCGAGGCUCGCCCCAGCGGGAAGGAAAACCCCAAGAAGAAGAAGAGGAAACGAAGAAGAACUGAUUCUUCCACCUAUGAAUGGACGAUGGAAGACCGGUGAUGAAAGAAAGACCCUUCCGGGGAUUGAAGAGCCACCACCCUCGGGCCUUAGGAUGGGGUCGGAGGACAAAGAAUGCCCGGAAGAGAGAUUCGAGGGU